AUACUCUGGUUUCUCUUCAGAUCGCAAAAAAUCUUUCGCCUUUUACUAAAGAUUUCCGUGGAGAGGAACAAGUACGAGUUAAUAGGAAUUUUUGCAGGUCUGACCUCGGUCAGGCU
rnacentral:snRNA from 1 species